GAAAAUAAUUUUUUCACCCUAAGUAUUUAAAGUUAUGUACUUGAAAUUUGAAGAAUUUGGCGGUGAUUUAGUCUUGUCAGAGGAACCUGUUUUUGAAUCGAUACACCCCGAAGAAUCUUACUUAAGCUUGUAAAGGCAGUAUGUAUACCAUCAUUAUUAGGUAAUUUUUAUAGAAUAAAUUACUGAACGAUAAUUAUUAACAAUAUUAAAUAUAUUAGAUCAAGGUGCAGCUAAUGCUUAAGUUAAAAUGGGUUACAAUAAAAAUUUAUUUAGUACGGAGUAUUAAUUCAAAUAAUUAUUUAUAAGGAGGAGUUUUUUGUGAAUAAAAUUUUAUAUGUGUAGUUAUAGAUAAGCUCUCAAAAAUGUGCACACCCCGCCCCCCCCCUCACAAA
rnacentral:rRNA from 1 species